UACGUAGGGGGCAAGCGUUAUCCGGAUUUACUGGGUGUAAAGGGGGCGUAGACGGCAGCGCAAGUCUGGAGUGAAAUGCCGGGGCUCAACCCCGGAACUGCUUUGGAAACUGUGCAGCUAGAGUGCGGGAGAGGUAAGCGGAAUUCCUAGUGUAGCGGUGAAAUGCGUAGAUAUUAGGAGGAACACCAGUGGCGAAGGCGGCUUACUGGACCGUAACUGACGUUGAGGCUCGAAAGCGUGGGGAGCAAACAGG
rnacentral:rRNA from 1 species